GACGAACGCUGGCGGCGUGCUUAACACAUGCCAGUCGAACGGAAAGGCCCUGCUUUUGUGGGGUGCUCGAGUGGCGAACGGGUGAGUAACACGUGAGUAACCUGCCCUUGACUUUGGGAUAACUUCAGGAAACUGGGGCUAAUACCGGAUAGGAGCUCCUGCUGCAUGGGGGGGGUUGGAAAGUUUCGGCGGUUGGGGAUGGACUCGCGGCUUAUCAGCUUGUUGGUGGGGUAGUGGCUUACCAAGGCUUUGACGGGUAGCCGGCCUGAGAGGGUGACCGGCCACAUUGGGACUAAGAUACGGCCCAGACUCCUACGGGAGGCAGCGGUGGGGAAUAUUGCGCAAUGGGCGGAAGCCUGAUGCAGCAGCGCCGCGUGCGGAAUAACGGCCUUCUGGUUGUAAACCGCUUUCGCCUGUGACGAAGCGUGAGUGACGGUAAUGGGUAAGGAAGCACCGGCUAACUACGUG
rnacentral:rRNA from 1 species